GACGAACGCUGGCGGCGUGCUUAACACAUGCCAGUCGAACGGAAAGGCCCUGCUUUUGUGGGGUGCUCGAGUGGCGAACGGGUGAGUAACACGUGAGUAACCUGCCCUUGACUUUGGGAUAACUUCAGGAAACUGGGGCUAAUACCGGAUAGGAGCUCCUGCUGCAUGGUGGGGGUUGGAAAGUUUCGGCGGUUGGGGAUGGACUCGCGGCUUAUCAGCUUGUUGGUGGGGUAGUGGCUUACCAAGGCUUUGACGGGUAGCCGGCCUGAGAGGGUGACCGGCCACAUUGGGACUGAGGUACGGCCCAGACGCCUACGGGAGGCAGCAGUGGGGAAUAUUGCACAAUGGGCGGAAGCCUGAUGCAGCAACGCCGCGUGCGGGAUGACGGCCUUCGGGUUGUAAACCGCUUUCGCCUGUGACGAAGCGUGAGUGACGGUAAUGGGUAAGGAAGCACCGGCUAACUACGUG
rnacentral:rRNA from 1 species